ACGCGACACCAUCCCUGCGGUCCACGUAUGCGCGGACGUCGUGUGUUGACAUGCCUCCACAGAAGCGAAAUCAAAGCGAAGGCUCGAUUUACGAAUGUUCGAGAGAAAAUACUUGCGAGGUGGACACCCCUCGUGUAUGUCGAAGUGAUUCCGGAAAGGAAACGGCGGAGCCAACUCAAUCUGACUCAACUUUCUCAGCUGUUCGCGCUUCAAUGCCGAAGCGAAGCUCGAAGGAGUUUUGUUCCGUGCCGCAGUGUUCUUCUGCAAGGUGGAAAGAUAAAACCAUAUCUUUCCAUCACUUUCCACAUGACGACGAAAGCUGUCAGAACGACCCACAUCGUCGUACGAACCGCCGGAAAACGUGGAUACAGAGGCUCCGAAUUGGAAAGCCGGUUUCGAACACCAUGCUCGUUUGCUCGAGGCACUUCGAACCACAUGACUACAUCCUGCCAGGCAUACCAACGAAAACUAGACGUCUGAAAAGGAACGCAGUGCCGAGUGUAAACCUUCCCAAGACAUCAACCUUUGAUGCCCGUCGUGCUGAGAAAACUGCUACACUGAGUGCGGGAAGGCUUUUACGGAGGCAGCAAAGGGAUGAGACUAAAAGCCAGAGCGACAACGUGCAGUGUGCAGAUUGUACACACACGCUUGAAAGCAGCACGGCACAUAGUGAAGAGAAGGUGACUCAACAUUCCACCAUUGAAAAUGAAAUUGCAGAGUUGUUGGUUGACUUAGGAAGUUGAACACCCAAUCAGGAAGAUGACAUGACAGAAGACAAGGGUAUUCCAGUUACCUCGGGGGACGUUAGCGUGAAAUCCAUUUCAACGUUUGAUGAUACAAACAUUGUGUCGUUUACUGGCCUCCUGUUUGUGGCUCUUCUGGAUGCACCAGUAUUGUGCUACGAACAAAUUGUUUCACUCUCUGGGAAGCAUCGCCUCACAACAGAAGAAAGAACUGUCCUCACUACGAUGAAGUUAAAGCAUAACAUGUCAACCGCAUUUCUAAGCAAUCUCUUUGGCUGCUCUGUUGCCACAUGGUCAAACAUAAUUACACAGACAGUGAAGGCUUUAUUGAGAAUCUUCUCAUCAGUUGUAGUGCUCCCAAGUAAAGAUGAAAAAUUCUAAUGAACAUGCCAAAAACAGUUCAAAAAGUACCAGACUGUUUAAAUAAUUUUGAAUUGUACAGUCUCAGCUAAAAUGUCUAUAACCUGUACAGCUAAUGUGUACUCCUAUUACAAGAAAGGUUUCACGUGUAAGUUCAUGAUAGGAGUCGCACUUGGUGGCAUUGUUGCUCAUGUCUCUAAAGGAUACAGUGGAAAAGCAUCAGAAAAAAAACGAAAGAUUUUUUAACGCAGUUGCCUAGGCUGACCACCGUACUUGUUCCACUUGUAUCGCCACUGGGGUGACAGGAGCAAGGACUGGCACGAUGAUUGCUUAGAAAAUUGUAGUGUUUCAGUGAAUUUGGUCAUCCUACCUGCUUGCAGAGUAGUAAAGUGCACGAUUGUAGUGUGCCAUCUUUCACAACAUGCAGGAUGUCAUCGAUGCAGAUGUUUGUAUUUUCCAACAUGUCCUCGGGAAAAUUCUAGUCAGGUCAGCUGAAAGUACAUGUUGAAGCAAUGUCAACCUGUUAGCUUCUCUUGCUGAAUGUGAAGAAAAAGCCCAUUAGAUACGUGCUGCGUUGAAAACGUUGUAGCUGUUCUUAUGCUUCGAUCGACGCCGUUUGUGACCAGUGCUCAGGAUCUCGUGGAUACGUGCCUCUUUUUGAGGCGAUGUACUAUAAUUCCGAGUUUUUCUUUUAUGUUUCAUAGUAAGUCUAUAUCUACUAGGACGUAGUGUUUUUUUUCCUCCGAAAUAAAAUAUGCUUACGUUUUGUGGUAAGCUGCAUCACAUUCUUAAGA